rnacentral:rRNA from 1 species
AUGAACGCUAGCGACAGGCCUAACACAUGCAAGUCGAGGGGCAGCACAAGGAGCAAUCUGAGGUGGCGACCGGCGCACGGGUGAGUAACACGUAUGCAACCUGCCUGUAAGCGGGGAAUAACCCGUUAGAAAGACGGACUAAUACCGCAUAAUACUAAAUUACUGCAUGGUAAUUUAUUUAAACAUUUAUGGCUUACAGAUGGGCAUGCGCAUGAUUAGCUAGUUGGAGAGGUAACGGCUCCCCAAGGCAACGAUCAUUAGGGGUUCUGAGAGGAAGGUCCCCCACACUGGUACUGAGACACGGACCAGACUCCUACGGGAGGCAGCAGUGAGGAAUAUUGGUCAAUGGACGAGAGUCUGAACCAGCCAAGUCGCGUGCAGGAAGAAUGUCCCUAUGGAUUGUAAACUGCUUUUGCAGGGGAAUAAAGUGCAUCACGUGUGAUGUUUUGUAUGUACUCUGCGAAUAAGGAUCGGCUAACUCCGUGCCAGCCGCAGC